GACUAAAGUCGGCCGCCGUGGACUCCACCAGAGCACGGGAGUGCAUGAGCUCAGCCAAUGAAUGAAACUCCACGUGAUCAAAUUGCUAUCUUCAAAGUAAUUUGUCAUAGAGAUCUAUAAAAGUCAUCAACCAUCAUGCGCAAUAAGAACUGUGAAACUGCGUGCGCAAUAAUUAACAUGGUUUUAGUCAAAUGCUUAUCAAUAUUUAAAGUAUGAACGUAGGUGUUCAUCACGGAACCAUACGUAAUUCUUUGUGUAUCUUUCUAGGAAUAUGCAGGAGUUUUCAAGAGGAGAGAUGGCUGAGGCAACAUGGGUAGCAGAAAGCAGAGGAGUCUUCAAGGAAAGACAGCUCUUGUCACGGGCGGAACAAAAGGAAUAGGGUAGCUCUCUUUGCCUUCUCUUCUCUCUGUUUUUUUCUUUUCUUUUCUUUUUUUCUUAAUACAAUAGUCGUUAUUUUGUUCAAAUUUUCUGAUGAAUUUUAUGGGUAUAGAUUAUUGCUAGCUUCGUUCUUAACCUUCAUGAGUGCCUGCAUGUAAUUAAACUCUACGAUAAAAUUUUCAUUAAAUUAGAGGUAUACUUUUCAACAUAUCCACACUGGACCGGGAUCCUCGAUCUCCAUUUCAAUAGGGGAUCCAAAUUCAUAUAAAUAAGAACCUUUGUAUAUAGACAAAAAAAUGAAUAACACAAUGUAAUCCUAAGUGCCAUUCCGCACAAGGGGUCUCAAGGCGAGCUAAUUACACUAACAACGACAUCAGUUCAGAUAUUAGCCUAUAAGAGCAUUUUCAACCUCUUAUCUAAAGCUUUUAUGAGCCAAAACUCAACCCCAACAUAUUAUCUAUUGGAAUAUACAUAAAAUAUUAUAUUUUCGUUUAUUUCAUAUUUUUGAUAUUGUAUAUCUCUAUUUAUGAAUUGAUUAAGAUUUAAUUACAUACUUGUAUUUACUUUACCCUUAAAGUGAUGAACGUAGGUGUUCUAUUUUAUUUUUCGAUAUUCUAACAUUACCAUCAGUUAUUUAAACCAUAUUUGCUACAGUGAAAAGAAAAGAUAAUUAUCACAUUCAUAAAAUGUUAGUGAUGCCCUAACUAUGGUAGAAAUCAACAAUUGAGAAGAGCUGCACACCGUUUUUGGUUUAGUCCUAAUUCUAGUUUUAAUCUAUUUUUUAUAAUCUUUUGGGAUUUUAGUCAAUUUCAAAAACUUGUCAUGCUUCAUGUGUAGUGUUAUUUCCACACUUUUUAUGCAUAGCUCUCAUGUGUGUUAAAAUUUAAUUUUAAUUCAAAAUCAAUGACCUCUAUUAUUUCCUAUUUUAUAUUUUUCGUAUAUUCUAACAUUAACCAUCCAGUUAUUUAAACCAUAAUUUGCACAGUGAAAGCAAAAGAUAAAUUAUCACAUUUAAAAUGUUAGCUUCCGCUGUCGCUUGCCCUCUUUGUUUUCUUGGUCACAAAUCGUCUUCGUCUUUCAUGCCCACAGUCCUCCUCAUUUUAGUGCAGUGGCGAAGGAAGGAAGCAGUCACUCAGUGCACCGAGUCGUCUCACGUUGGAAAUUUUUAGACUUGGUCAUGGCGCUCCUGGGAGACAGGGAAUGUGGGGUUUGGACCUUUUUUUUUUUUUUUCCUAAGAGAAUACAUCUUAUUUUAUAUGCUUUAGGAUGUAAGAUGAAAAUGUGCAUAACAAAUGUAGAGAGACAUGCAUGCUACUUCUCCAUUUACUAUUAAUCUUUUUCUCAAACCAACCAUUGUCUCUCGCUGUCGCUUGCCCUCUUUGUUUUCUUGGUCAACAAAUCGUCUUCGUCUUUCAUGGAGCCAUUGUGAUCUCUCUCUCUCUCUCUUUUCACCCAUCACGUUGUCUUCCAGGGCCACAGUCACCGAAGCCAAUCGUCUUCCAUGAGAGCUAUCGUCAUCUCUCUCCUAUCGUCAGAUCAGGUGGUA
rnacentral:lncRNA from 1 species